UGGAUUUCUUCAGGAUCUGUUGUU
rnacentral:piRNA from 1 species